rnacentral:rRNA from 1 species
AACUAACGCUGGCGGCGCGUCUUAAACAUGCAAGUCGAACGGUAGUCCUUGAGCUUGCUUAGGGAUGAGAGUGGCGAACGGGUGAGUAACACGUGGAUAAUCUGCCUCCGGGUUGGGGAUAACUGUCCGAAAGGAUAGCUAAUACCGAAUGAGAUGGCGGUUACAUAAGUAGCAGCCAUUAAAAGGUGGGGACCGCAAGGCCUACUGCCUGGAGAUGAGUCCGCGGCUGAUUAGCUAGUUGGUGGGGUAACGGCCUACCAAGGCGACGAUCAGUAGCCGGCCUGAGAGGGUGAACGGCCACAUUGGGACUGAGAUACGGCCCAGACUCCUACGGGAGGCAGCAGUUAAGAAUCUUGCACAAUGGGCGCAAGCCUGAUGCAGCGACGCCGCGUGAAUGAUGAAGGCCUUCGGGUUGUAAAGUUCAGUAAGCAGGGAAGAA